GUAUAGAAAGGUAUGGUGAGGUAUAGUGAGGUAUAGUGUUGUAUAGUGAGGUAUAGUGAGGUAUAGUGUUGUAUAGUGAGGUAUAGUGAGGCAUAGUGAUGUAUAGUGAGGUAUAGUGAGGUAUAGUGAGGUAUAGUGUUGUAUAGUGAGGUAUAGUGAGGUAUAGUGAUGUAUAGUGAGGUAUAGUGAGGUAUAGUGUUGUAUAGUGAGGUAUAGUGUUGUAUAGUGAGGUAUAGUGAGGUAUAGUGAUGUAUAGUGAGGUAUAGUGAGGUAUAGUGAUGUAUAGUGAGGUAUAGUGUUGUAUAGUGAGGUAUAGUGAUGUAUAGUGAGGUAUAGUGAUGU